UACGAAGGGGGCUAGCGUUGUUCGGAAUCACUGGGCGUAAAGGGCGCGUAGGCGGCCGCUCAAGUCGGGGGUGAAAGCCUGUGGCUUAACCACAGAAUUGCCUUCGAUACUGUUUGGCUUGAGACCGGAAGAGGUGAGUGGAACUGCGAGUGUAGAGGUGAAAUUCGUAGAUAUUCGCAAGAACCCCAGUGGCGAAGGCGGCUCAAUGGCCCGGAACUGACGCUGAGGUGCGAAAGCGUGGGGAGCAAACAGG
rnacentral:rRNA from 1 species